rnacentral:rRNA from 1 species
AUUGAACGCUGGCGGCAGGCCUAACACAUGCAAGUCGAACGGCAGCACAGAAGAGCUUGCUCUUUGGGUGGCGAGUGGCGGACGGGUGAGUAAUGUCUGGGAAACUGCCCGAUGGAGGGGGAUAACUACUGGAAACGGUAGCUAAUACCGCAUAACGUCGCGAGACCAAAGUGGGGGACCUUCGGGCCUCACACCAUCGGAUGUGCCCAGAUGGGAUUAGCUAGUAGGUUGGGUAAUGGCUCACCUAGGCGACGAUCCCUAGCUGGUCUGAGAGGAUGACCGGCCACACUGGAGCUGAGACACGGUCCAGACUCCUACGGGAGGAAGCAGUGGGGAAUAUUGCACAAUGGGCGCAAGCCUGAUGCAGCCAUGCCGCGUGUAUGAAGAAGGCCUUCGGGUUGUAAAGUACUCUCAGCGGGGAGGAAGGCGUUAAGGUUAAUAACCUUGGCGAUUGACGUUACCCGCAGAAGAAGCACCGGCUAACUCCGUGCCAGCAGCCGCUGUAA